rnacentral:rRNA from 1 species
CAAUAGCGUAUAUUAAAGUUGUUGCGGUUAAAAAGCUCGUAGUUGGAUUUCUGCUGAGAACGACCGGUCCGCCCUUUGGGUGUGUAUCUGGCUCUUUCUUGGCAUCUUCUUGGUGAACGUUGCUGCACUUGACUGUGUGGAGCGCUACCCAGGACUUUUACUUUGAGGAAAUUAGAGUGUUUCAAGCAGGCAUACGCCUUGAAUACAUUAGCAUGGAAUAAUAAGAUAGGACCUCGGUUCUAUUUUGUUGGUUUCUAGAGCUGAGGUAAUGAUUAAUAGGGAUAGUUGGGGGCAUUCGUAUUUAACUGUCAGAGGUGAAAUUCUUGGAUUUGUUAAAGACGGACUACAGCGAAAGCAUUUGCCAAGGAUGUUUUCAUUGA